rnacentral:ribozyme from 1 species
AUCAACAAUAACUUUCUUGACUUGUUGGUGUUUCUUUUUUCUCCUCGCUGGUUUUUCUUCUUCUUUUUUUUGUAUCCCCUUUCUCUUCCCUCUC